GUAGGUGAACCUGCGGAAGGAUCAUUGAAUCUAUAUCAAUCCACAUACGUGAACCUCUUCGUUGGCCUUCCACCUUCACGGGUGGUAUGGUACGGCAUCGCUGCAAAGCGAUGCUGUGCCAGCCGUCGGCUGCACGGAUCCCGUGCACUGGCUUCGGCCUUUACUAACCAACCAACACCUAACCAAACUAUAAUGAUAACCGAAUGUACGGCUUAGAGUCGUACAUUCACCAACCAAGACAACUCUCAACAACGGAUAUCUUGGCUCUCAGAUCGAUGAAGAACGCAGCGAAAUGCGAUACGUAGUGUGAAUUGCAGAAAUACGUGAAUCAUCGAAUCUUUGAACGCAAAUUGCGCUCGAGGCUUCGGCCAAGAGCAUGUCUGCCUCAGCGUCGGGUUAAAACUCGCUCCAACUAACCUUGGGUGCGGAACUGACUGUCUCAUAUGCACUGUGUGCGCAUGGGUCAGUUGAAGUGCAGCUGCUGCUACAUGGACCCGCUAAUGGGCCUCUACUGGGUAGGCAGUCUUUUGCUCAUGCUUUAGUAGAUGGCUUUGGAUCUGUGUUGGCUAAGCACAAACCAGGAAACCUUAACCUUUUUUCUCGACCUGAGCUCAGGCAAGAUUACCCGCUGAACUUAA
rnacentral:rRNA from 1 species